CAAAUCAGCUGUGACUAUUACGAGUGUUCUAGUUCCAGUCAUCGUUGUCUGGCUGAUGGGCGUGUAUUCCCCCUAUACGAGGCUUCUUGACAGCCCCAGCAGAGACUGUGUAAAGAAUCACAGUUGCGGAGGUGUCCAGUGAGGUGAUAUUUGAGUGGGUGCGUUUGCAUCAGAGGAUUAGUUUGCUACCGUUUUGCCUUUCCUUUUCUUGAUCUUAGGUUUUAGCUGUAUUUUACCAUGCCUACAGGCUAUUUGUUGCCUAAGUAUUGAUUUGCCUGCCAACUAUGUUGGCAACGUGGGCGGGAGCUCAACCUUUGAGGCACGUGACGUCCCGACUCCCGUGUUGUGUACUUACCCAGCCACAAAAGUUACGUAUUAUCUUAUAUUAUUAAUAUAUAUAUAAUUCUGAUGUCUUUGGUUUUUUAAACAUUCCCUGAUAAACGUUAUUUCAGCGUCAAUAAAUGAGUGUUAAUCCCAGUGUGUUUAGUGUACAACAUCACAUGUCAUUUUACCUUCAAUUCACGGUUUUCAAAACGUUAGCCACAUGCUAAUGCUAACCGGAAAUGAAGAAUUUUCUGAAUAAAAGUGUUAAGUUAAUAGUUAAUGUGAACUUCCGGUUUUUUCAGAAUAAAACUGCUUUAAAUUAAAACCCUGUAUUUAAUUUAAAUUACGUCAUAUACUAUUUUAUUUUAAUUUAGUAGGAGAGGUUCUAACCCUAACCCUCAUUGAGGCAUUGCGCACUGCAUUGAGGGGCUUCUCCUUGGUUCUAAGAAAGAACAUUGACCCUUAAAAAGCAAGAAACCAUGAGAAUCACAGGUUUUCCAGACAAACCUUUGCUAUGAAAUCAAAGACAUGUAUGUUGGCUGAUUCAGGAGUGUAGGUGGACACGCAUGCAAUUACACAACAUCUUCCAUACUACUGCAACAUACCUACCGGUGGCGGAAGCAUACACGCAAGUGGGGCGGGUCUGUGUACCAACAAACAAGAGACAGCCAGCUAGAAACCUUUUAUAGGGUGCCCCCUGGUGGUGACAUGCUCACAAGAGACUUCUGGCCAACUGCUGAGGGUUUCCCCAAAACCACAAUAUCACCACGUGUAGCUGUAUCCAAUCAACACUCACUGCAAAUCACCCAUAUCUGCAUGCAAAAAGUGCCCAGCAAACCACAUGCUCCACUCCACAGUAUGGCCAGGAUCGUCACUGAAGAAGUUUAAGCACAGAGACAGUAUUAGACCUUGUGGGACAGGGUGGGUCGUUACAAGGAGGGUGCUGUAGCUUUAAAGAUUUAAAUCACUAGUUUGUACACAAUACAACAAACUAGUCAAUAAGCAAAACAUAGUAGCCUACUGCGGAGGCUCGCUCACCAGUUAAAGUGCUGCUUUAACUGCACGCCUUCCUGCUGCCUUGCUUGGGCCGACACUCAAAGUGUGGAAGUCACUGAACUCUGGGGCUAACUCCCUCUAUAACUUGUCCUUACUUUGGCCAACUUGAUUUAAAUUAGUUUGUUUAUUUUAUUCUAGUUGUUUAUUUUGUUUAACUGAACCUUUUCUCUUUUGAUUUGUUUUAUUCUUAAAUGUUUACACAAGUUAUCAUCUGCUUAUGAGAACAUAUUUGAUAUUGUGUUUGUUGAUUACUUUGAUUUACGUAUUUAGCCCCCAUUAACUGCGUUUCCCUCUUUGUUUCCCUACUUAGUUACUGAGAGCUGACGGUGGUGGUGCUGGUGUCCAAGGUGGUGGUUUUCCUCUCUUCUUUUGUGUGUGAUGUGCUCCCCCGGGAUUUGAUUUCCUGCACGUAUGACUGGGGUGAUUUAAGUUUGGUUUGUUUGGGGAUCCUUCCACUCACUCGUCGACCCUAUCCCCCCACUGGUAAGCCUCAGCCCCCAAUUCAUUUUUCCCCUUUGUGCUACAGCCCUGUGCGACUGUUUUUAACUGCAUUUUAACUAGUGACUUGUGCCAAAUAAAAUUGUAUAUUUUUGAUAACUUGAAA